CUCUCUCUUUCUUGGCAACUACAAGUCCCUUUUAGUCUUUACAGUUUCCACUAAUUCUUUCUUUAUAAACUCUCAUUGUCUUGCUUCUACUAAGCUCAAGUAUCAAUAAAAACAUACCAGAUUUAGGGUUUUCUGGCAACAUACUUUUGAGCAAUAGCUAGGUCUAAGCUAAUAAGGAAGGAGUAUAUAUCUGCAUGUUGGUAUUUGAUUCUACAAAGCUAUGGCAGGGAAAAAGAGUGAAGGAGCUUCCUACAGCCCAACCAUAUAUAUGGAUAUAUGAGGAAAAUUUAACAAAGUUAAGGGUUGCUAAAUUAACUUUUGAUUCAUUCAUAUAAUUAAGUACUUAGGCUUUAUUUGGAUUAAACAAAUUAAUUAAACAUUUUUUUAGUAUAAAUACUUAUCAUACUAAGUACUUAUGUUCCUUAAUAAAAAAAAAUAGUAAGUACUUAUGUAUAAAUUAUUUCUAUAUAAAAAAAAAUUAUAUAUAAGUAAGGUUAUUUUUGUAUAAUAUAGAUUCUCUCUAAAGGUGAAUAAUAUUAUUUAUAAUAAAUUUUAAUAAAAUAUUUUUGUUCUCCAACUAUUAUUAUUAUUAAUUUAAUUUUUUGUAAAAUAGUAAAAAAAAUUCUUUGAACUACUUCUAAGAGGUCUAUAUUAGACGUACACACUCAUAAUUUAUAAAUUAUUUUCAUAAGUAAUUCUUCGAUUUAUUUAAAUAUAUUUUGUAUAAGUUGAAAAACAAUAUCUUCAUAAGCAAUUCUUCGAUUUAUAUAAGUCGAAAAACAAUAUCUUUUGUUCGGCGAAUAUAGAUAAAGAAAUUAAAAAAUGUGUAUUCAUAAACUUUCUUAAACACUCUAAUCUCAAUUAUUUAUCCUACAUAUAAACUCAAAUAAGUCAAUUUUAACAAGUCAUUAGCUGCAGAGUGACCAAGCAAGCAAUAUUAUAAUUUGGUAUAGUAAUUAAUUAUGUGAAUGAAUUGAAGAUGAAGAUAGUAAUUUUUGCACCCACUUUUUCUCUAUGGUGGGUUGGACUGAAGGGAGCUCCUUCUUUCUUUCUUUCUUUCUUUCUGUUGGCACCAUUUGUGUAAGCAUUAUGUAUGAUGAAAUGGCUUUAAUAUGCAUGUCUCAGCUUAUUGCCUUCUAUAUAGUAAGCUUUAGCAUAUAAAAGGUAAAGACAGUACAGGUACUGUUGUUGAUGUUACAUUACAUAUCGUCUUCUAGCUCUUUGUAAGUAUUUACUCUUUUUACUAUUGCUGCACAAGAUUCAGGAAACAUAUAUCUGAACAGUUUCCAUGUGAAUUUAAUACUUUCUUGACCAA